UACGUAGGGUGCAAGCGUUGUCCGGAAUUACUGGGCGUAAAGCGUGCGCAGGCGGUUUUGUAAGACUGACGUGAAAUCCCCGGGCUCAACCUGGGAAUGGCGUUGGUGACUGCAAGGCUAGAGUUUGGCAGAGGGGGGUAGAAUUCCACGUGUAGCAGUGAAAUGCGUAGAUAUGUGGAGGAACACCGAUGGCGAAGGCAGCCCCCUGGGUCAAAACUGACGCUCAUGCACGAAAGCGUGGGGAGCAAACAGG
rnacentral:rRNA from 1 species